rnacentral:rRNA from 1 species
UGGGGAAUCUUGCGCAAUGGGCGAAAGCCUGACGCAGCAACGCCGCGUGCGGGAUGAAGGCCCUCGGGUUGUAAACCGCUUUCAGUAGGAACGAAUCUGACGGUACCUACAGAAGAAGGUCCGGCCAACUACGUGCCAGCAGCCGCGGUAACACGUAGGGGCCAAGCGUUGUCCGGAUUUAUUGGGCGUAAAGAGCUCGUAGGCGGUUCAGCAAGUCGGGUGUGAAAACUCUGGGCUCAACCCAGAGACGCCACCCGAUACUGCUGUGACUAGAGUCCGGUAGGGGAGUGGGGAAUUCCUGGUGUAGCGGUGAAAUGCACAGAUAUCAGGAGGAACACCGGUGGCGAAGGCGCCACUCUGGGCCGGCACUGACGCUGAGGAGCGAAAGCGUGGGUAGCAAACAGGAUUAGAUACCCCCGUAGUCC